rnacentral:snoRNA from 1 species
CCAACGUGGAUAUUCAGGGAGGUCACUCCCCUUGGGUUCUAUCCACGUGGCAUAGGGGAGCGCUGGACUCUGCCCCGUGAUGUACAGUCCCCUUUCCACAAUGUUGGAGAUAAAGCUGGGCUUUUGUGUCUGUGCCUACGUAUUUCUAUGACUUCUCAGAAUCCUGUGGAUGAUGACCAAGGAGACAAACUAUGCAGGAAAUACAG